rnacentral:rRNA from 1 species
GACGAACGCUGGCGGCGUGCUUAACACAUGCAAGUCGAACGGAAAGGCCUGCUUUCCCUUGUGGAUUGCGGGUACUCGAGUGGCGAACGGGUGAGUAACACGUGAGUGAUCUGCCCCCAACUUGGGUAUAAGCCUGGGAAACUGGGUCUAAUUCCCGAUAGGACUGCAGGGUGGUGCCUGUGGUGGAAAACGAUUUUCUAGUGGUUGGGGAUGAGCUCGCGGCCUAUCAGCUUGUUGGUGGGGUAAUGGACGACCAAGGCGGCGACGGGUAGCCGGCCUGAGAUGGUGGACAGGCGCAUUGGGACUGAGAUACGGCGCAGACGCCUAGGGGAAGCAGGAGAGGGGAGUAAGGGGCGGUGAGCGGAAGCCUGAUGCAGCGAGGCCGCGUGGGGGAUGACGGGCUUGGGAUUGUAAACUCCUUUCGACCGCGAGGAAGCCACCUGGUUGGAAGGGUGGUGACGGUAGUGGUAGAAGAAGCACCGGCUAACUACGUG